GAAAACAGGCAGCUAACAGCAGUAGCUCCAGCAGAUGUCAGCUCCAGCCUCACCCCCCCGGUUGCCGUGAGUGAUGCACCAGGUGCUGGGAGCCUUCUUCUCCAUGUGGGGAUACUCUCAUGCAGGCUGCGACUUCUUUAUGUGGAUGCAGAGGGAAUUGUGAUCAGCAAACCUAAUCUAUUUGCAGAGGAGGAUGCAAUGAAUUGAAUGCACUGAUGACUUCCCCCUACCCCCCCC